rfam:Triticum aestivum genome assembly, contig: Triticum_aestivum_CS42_TGACv1_scaffold_376953_5AL
UACAUACUCCCUCCGUCCGAAAAUACUUGUCAUCAAAAUGGAUAAAAGGGGAUGUAUCUAGAACUAAAAUACAUCUAGAUACAUCCCUUUUAUUCAUUUUGAUGACAAGUAUUUCCGGACGGAGGGAGUAGUUC